UUAGAACAAACUUAAUAAGCUACGAUUUUAUUUUUAAAUUCCCUUUGCUACUUUCUUUUUAGAAAUGGGCAAGUCUCUCUAAUCUAUUGCAUGCUGAUUGAAUGAAGUGCAGUCUUUGUGCUCGCCUUCUGACCAAACUAAUAUUUUACGCAGACAUGCAUUUUUGAUGACUCUUGGGCUGUGUUCACUUCAUGGAAUGGAAUGAGGGGAGAAUGGAAUGAAAAAUUAUAUAGGAGUUUUAAGAAAAAAGAAGAAAAUAUGAGAUAAUGAUGACAAAAUAUGAAUGUAGUUAAUUUAUUUGUGAGAAAGAUUGUGAAGAAACAUGAUGUUCAAAUGGAAUGAGCAUUCUUUCUAAAACAUGUGGGUUAGAGUUAUAGUUAAAAUAGUAAGGUUGGAAUGAUUGAAGGAAUGAAAAUUAUAUACAUUUUGUUUGAUGAACACCAUUUUAGAGUACAAAAUUCAUUCCAUUCUCCCUCCAUUCCAUUCAUUCCAAGUGAACACAACCUUGGUGUUUCCGAGCAGCGAGGCUUACACACAAUCCUUUGAAUGACUUUGUUUACAAAUUUCCUUCUAGAAGUUAGUAGGAAAAAAUUCCUUCUAAAAUCUCCAAUAAUUUAGUAACUCUUGAAUAAAUAUUGUUUAUAUUAAUUCAGUAUAUUAAGACUCAUAAAAUUUAAAUAAUAAUAAUAACAAUAGUACUUUUAGUUCCGAAUCAAGAUCAUAUUCAUGUUCAAAAAAAAAUAUAGAUAAAGACCAAGAUAAUAAGAAGAACGUAACAUUUAUAUUUGAAAGCGCUUUAUUUUUCAUCUCAAAAAAAUAAUGUGUGCUGAACAGGAGUAAAGAUACCGGUAGACUUGAAAUCAUUUUGUUU
rnacentral:lncRNA from 1 species